rnacentral:tRNA from 1 species
GGGCUGGUGGUCUAGUGGUAUGACGCCGCCUUGGCAUGGCGGAGACUGCGAGUUCGAUUCUCGCCCAGUCCA